rnacentral:rRNA from 1 species
UCUGUAGAGGGGGGUAGAAUCCAGUGUAGCGUGAAUGCGUAGAGAUCUGGAGGAUACNGUGGCGNNCGCCCCNGACGAAGACUGACGCUCAGGUGCGAAGCGUGGGAGCAAACAGGAUUAGAUACCUGGUAGUCACGCGUAAACGAUGUCGACUUGGAGGUUGUGCCCUUGAGGCGUGGCUCCGGAGCUAACGCGUUAAGUCGACCGCUGGGGAGUACGGCCGCAAGGUUAAAACUCAAAUGAAUUGACGGGGGCCCGCACAAGCGGUGGAGCAUGUGGUUUAAUUCGAUGCAACGCGAAGAACCUUACCUGGUCUUGACAUCCACGGAAGUUUUCAGAGAUGAGAAUGUGCCUUCGGGAACCGUGAGACAGGUGCUGCAUGGCUGUCGUCAGCUCGUGUUGUGAAAUGUUGGGUUAAGUCCCGCAACGAGCGCAACCCUUAUCCUUUGUUGCCAGCGGUCCGGCCGGGAACUCAAAGGAGACUGCCAGUGAUAAACUGGAGGAAGGUGGGGAUGACGUCAAGUCAUCAUGGCCCUUACGACCAGGGCUACACACGUGCUACAAUGGCGCAUACAAAGAGAAGCGACCUCGCGAGAGCAAGCGGACCUCAUAAAGUGCGUCGUAGUCCGGAUUGGAGUCUGCAACUCGACUCCAUGAAGUCGGAAUCGCUAGUAAUCGUGGAUCAGAAUGCCACGGUGAAUACGUUCCCGGGCCUUGUACACACCGCCCGUCACACCAUGGGAGUGGGUUGCAAAAGAAGUAGGUAGCUUAACCUUCGGGAGGGCGCUUACCACUUUGUGAUUCAUGACUGGGGUGAAGUCGUAACAAGGUAACCGUAGGGGAACCUGCGGCUGGAUCACCUCCUU